rnacentral:rRNA from 1 species
AUUGAACGCUGGCGGCAGGCCUAACACAUGCAAGUCGAACGAGUGGCGGACGGGUGAGUAAUGUCUGGGAAACUGCCAGAUGGAGGGGGAUAACUACUGGAAAGGGUAGCUAAUAACGCAUACCAUCGGAUGUGCCCAGCUGGGAUGAGCUAGUAGGGGGGGUAACGGCGCACCGAGGCGACGAUCCCUAGCUGGUCUGAGAGGAUGCCCAGCCACCCGGGAACUGAGACACGGUCCAUACUCCUACGGGAGGCAGCAGUGGGGAAUAUUGCACAAUGGGCGCAAGCCUGAUGCAGCCAUGCCGCGUGUAUGAAGAAGGCCUGCGGUGUGUAAAGUACUUUCAGCGAGGAGGCGUUACUCGCAGAAGAAGCACCGGCUAACUCCGUGCCAGCAGCCGCGGUAAUAC